rnacentral:rRNA from 1 species
GACGAACGCUGGCGGCGUGCUUAACACAUGCAAGUCGAACGGAAAGGCCCUGCUUUUGUGGGGUGCUCGAGUGGCGAACGGGUGAGUAACACGUGAGUAACCUGCCCUUGACUUUGGGAUAACUUCAGGAAACUGGGGCUAAUACCGGAUAGGAGCUCCUGCUGCAUGGUGGGGGUUGGAAAGUUUCGGCGGUUGGGGAUGGACUCGCGGCUUAUCAGCUUGUUGGUGGGGUAGUGGCUUACCAAGGCUUUGACGGGUAGCCGGCCUGAGAGGGUGACCGGCCACAUUGGGACUGAGAUACGGCCCAGACUCCUACGGGAGGCAGCAGUGGGGAAAAUUGCACAAUGGGCGGAAGCCUGAUGCAGCAACGCCGCGUGCGGGACGACGGCCUUCGGGUUGUAAACCGCUUUCGCCUGUGACGAAGCGUGAGUGACGGUAAUGGGUAAAGAAGCACCGGCUAACUACGUG